ensembl:lncRNA
CCUAAGUUACUUGACCUUUCUGGACCUCAGUCUGUAAUAUUCUCAUAGGAUUGUUGGAAAUUUUAAGUACCAUCUAGGGAAAAUGCUUAAUACGGUGGGGGUGGGGUGCUUUUCUUGUUUCCUUUUUUUUUUUUUGGCUGUGCUGGGUCUUUGUUGCGCAUAUAGGCUUCUCUAGUUGGGCUUAGUUGCCCCAUGGCAUGUGGGAUCUUACUUCCCCGACCAGGGAUCAAACCCAUGUCUCCAACACUGGAAGGUGGAUUCUUAAUCACUGGAUCACCAGGGAAGUCUCUUGUGUGUUUUCCUAGACUGAAUGAUCAUAUGCAAAGAAAUACAAUUAGCCUUGAAGUCAGAGCUUGAAAGGAAUAAGGUAUAGAAAACCUGCUACACCUGGUGGUCAGAACUUUAGUGUCUUUCCUGAUCAAGCACCAGAAAAGUGGAGCAAGGCUACCACCAUCCUCACAGGACUAACCCGAAAGUUUAACCAAGGGAUAAAAAUGCUUCAAAGUUGACAACGGGGUGAUCAGGGACAGAAGAGCACAGCCACGCGGGAGAGAAGCUUCCAGUUCUCACAGGAGGCAAGGGCGACACUCAACAGCAGUUCAUGCUCUCAGGAACUUCGGGUUUUCAGUGCAAAGAUAAAACAAUCCUACUGACGGACCUGCUUGAAGAAGGCAGCCUCACUUCUCCUAAUUCUUGACUGCUGUUGUAAGGGGUUCCUUUUCCCCAAACAGUGGGACUUGUGACCUGACUUAGUGUAUGAUACUUUCCUAGUAUCCUUGGAAGUCGUUAAAACCUGUUACCCAAUUAACAGCCAUGCUCAUAAAUGCAUAUUUUCUUAAUAGGAAAAGCACAGGGCUUCCUUCAACAACAAUUAUAGUAUCAGUGGGUAACCUGUCUGGAGAGGCUUCCUAUGAUGCUGGACAUCAUUCUAAGCAGUUUUUUCUUGUUUUGCUACACCACUCUGCAUGUGGGAUCUUAGUUCCCCAACCAGGGAUUGAACCCAUGCCCCUUAUAUUUGAAGGGGGGGAAUCUUAACUGCUGGACCACCCUGGAAGUCCUUUAAGUCCUUAUCAAAAGUCAGUGCAGUGGGGACUAUCUUACAGAAGACAUAAUGGAGGCACAGAGAGGUUAAAUAAAUUGCCAAAAGCCACACAGCUCACCUCGAUCAUCACCUCUGUGUCCAGAGGCCUUCCUAAUGACAAUACAGGCAUCUCCAGAUAAGACUGUGGACUAGGAAACCCUUGCCCUCUCCUGGCCUGAUUUAUAGACCUGGCUGUGAGAGUUUGACAGCCCUGACGAACAGGGCUGCUGAGCACGCUGGUGGCCAGUUGGAAAAAUACACGAAGCCAGGGAGUGGAAGGAGGCCUGGCCGCCUGGUGGGCUCUGAGUCACAUAGGUCAGCGGGAGCUGGCCCACUCAGCCUGUCACCCUCAGCUGUCUCUCUGCUGCACACGGAGCCAGGGCUUGGAGAUGGGAACUGCGAUUUAUAAGCUCUCAGGCAAAAUCAACUUUCGGGUGAAGAAAACCCACAUACCCGGUAGGUUCCCCUGGCUUCUGACUAUCUGACGGCACCCGGGCCACUGGGAGGACUGUCUUGACAUUGGUUCAGUUGUUCGUGCCUUUGAUGUUACAGAAGGACCCAGCUGGCCUUCAGGGCUGGGGAUAAAAGCUUCAACGGGGACUGCUGUUUGGGUUUCUUGUCAUCUGAGUUCUUUUAUAAGCCAGCUCACAAGUAAGCUUUAUUUUCUUGUAGACCAAUGUGCUUUCAAA